rnacentral:rRNA from 1 species
GACAGAGGUGCCAAGCGUUAGGCGGAAUCACUGGGCUUAAAGCGUGUGUAGGCGGAUUCCUAAGUACCUUGUGAAAUCCCACGGCUCAACCGUGGAACUGCUUGGUAUACUGGGUGUCUUGAGCUACUUAGGGGCGACUGGAACAAAUGGUGGAGCGGUGAAAUGGCGUAGAUAUCAUUUGGAACGCCAAUGGUGAAAACAGGUCGCUGGG